GACGAACGCUGGCGGCGUGCUUAACACAUGCAAGUCGAACGAAGUGGCGAACGGGUGAGUAAUACGUGGGUACCCUUCCCUCCUUUUUGGGAUAAGCCUUGGAAACGGGGUCUAAUACCGAAUACAGGGGGAUGGGCUCGCGGCCUAUCAGCUUGUUGGUGGGGUGAUGGCUUACCAAGGCGGUGACGGGUAGCCGGCCUGAGAGGGUGAACGGGCACUGUGGGACGGAGCUAAGGCCCACAGGAGGAAGGGGGGCAGCAGUGGGGGAUAUUGCACAAUGGGUGAAAGCCGGAUGCAGCGACGCCGCAUGGGGGAUGAAGGCUUUCGGGUUGUAAACCUAUGGCGCUAGCGAACGGGUAGGUGGAGAAGAAGCGCCGGCUAACUACGUGCCAGCAGCCGCGGUAAUAC
rnacentral:rRNA from 1 species